CCCUUAGAUGUUCUGGGCCGCACGCGCGCUACACUGAUGCGUUCAACGAGUUUAUAACCUUGAUCGAUAGUUCUGGGUAAUCUUUUGAACUCGCAUCGUGCUAGGGAUAGAUUAUUGCAAUUAUUAAUCUUGAACGAGGAAUUCCUAGUAAACGCAAGUCAUCAGCUUGCAUUGAUUACGUCCCUGCCCUUUGUACACACCGCCCGUCGCACCUACCGAUUGAAUGGUCCGGUGAAAUCUCCGGACUGGCGUGAGUCGGAGCAAUCUGACAAACACCGGAAAGUUGAUUAAACCUUACCAUUUAGAGGAAGGUGAAGUCGUAACA
rnacentral:rRNA from 1 species